AUGGAAAGAAACCAAAUGAAAUGAAUAUGAGCUUUCUGCAAAAUGGCUUUGUGCUGAUUGAUUCAUGAUGAAACAAAGUAUUGGCUCUGUUGGGUCAAAGAACAUAGCUCCUACUUACAUCUUUAUGACAGAGCUUAUUGGGUUGAAAGUAAUGUAGUGAGUCUGACUAAGAAACUGAUAAAACAAAUGUCUACAGUGGCAAGAGUUUGUCAUGGUACAUUCUUACCUUUUCUGGUUUGAUGUCGAGUAUUCUCUGGAUGCCAUCGGUUGCUUUUCCUCCGGCUUGUUCGACCAUAUAGCUCAUUGGUGCACACUUGUACAGAAGCCUCAGAUUCCCAUUCUUAGCGUUAUUGUUCUUGGGGUUCCCAUAUAUUCCACCAACCAGCAGCAUCCGAUGGAUCUCUCCGACGAGGCAUCCAAUGUAACGGCCAGAAUAGGACUUGCCAUUGGAGCCUGGCUGCCUGAGAUGGUUGAGGUAGCUCUUCAAUUUCUCGUCCCACAGGAUCUAAGGUGAAAGCAUACACCCCGUUCCCUAUUGAGAGCGUGAAGACUACCGAGCUAGAGUAGAGGCAAUAACCGGCUGCCAGCAAGUUGCUGCCCGGUUGGCAGACGCUGGUGAUGCACCUCUCUUUAGCUUGGUCGAGCUGUGCCAUUAGCAGUGUUUAGUAAUUUGGCAGGCGGGAUUAAGAGGUCAAAUUACGAUAUGACAGGCAUCUGUUAUACUCUAGAGCAGACUAAAGAUCUGAGUAGCUUCCAACAUGUCAGGAACUCGCUGACAGGAUAGAGGAUAAGCUUAUUUGGUUUCGCAUUAGGAUUGAAAAAGCAUACUUGUAGCCUCAUGUGAAAGAAAGAAUAGCCUGUUCUGUGCAUUAACUAGGACACAGAAACUAUAUAUGAGAAGAAGUAUGACUUUUGGUAACAGAACGAAAAUAAAAUGGCAGGACAAUACAGUUACUG